AUGGAUGCUAUCAUAGCUCUCCUAGAGAAGGAGGCGAAUAACGAGAACAAGGGACUGCCUAAAGGCGAGCAAAAGCCGACCAAGGUUAAUGGAAGGGUGUACACGGCAGCAGGUGGUGCAUUUUUGGUACGCCUGCUGCUGGAUGAUCCUAAGAAGGAGGUUGUUACCCUUCUGUAUGGUCUGAAGGAUCUUUACUUAAAAGGAUGGAACGUGGGAGCCAUUUGGUACCUAAUGAAAGAGCUUGAUGUGGCUUUACCGCCAAGUACACAGGUGGCUUUCAAAACAAAGACCAUCACUUCAAGAAAAGGAAGGAGACACACUGUCAAAGACGGAAUCCAUUUCCUCAGCUGGUCCGGCAGCUACCUCUCUUUAAGUGGAGGCAAGUUUCAGCCAUUCUUCUAUAAUGCUUUUGGAAAAGCCAAUGACAAGCUUCGUGAUGCUGGGAAUCUGGUGGCAGACGACCAAGAUUCCGAGCUCCAACCUUCUGUGGCGCUGUAUGCCAUUAAAUCUGAGUGUGUUCGGUUCCCGGAGAUCGAGUCCUCAGUGAUUGCUAAUACAACCGACCCUCUGAACAUCAUUGAAGCGCCACUCGACAAACAUCUCAUAAUAAGGAUGGAUCAGUGGGGUACUGGAUCAGUAGCUUGCUAUGGUGCAAACCCACCAGAAUGGGUUAGGGUUAUCAAGAGAGACCUGACAUCACACUUACGAUUGAAGGUUGAGCCUCUAUAUCGAAAAAAGAAGAACCAAGCUAUCGUGCAGGAGGUGGAGGAGCCAGUGGCGCUCGUGCAGGAGGUGGAGGAGCCAGUGGCGCUCCGGGAGACCAUCCAAGGAGAAGGCAUCUGUCUGAUGGAGGGCUUGAAGGGCCGGAAUCGCUUUGUUGAAAGCUUUGUGCCAGACAAGUCUUUUGCUGUGAGAGUCAAAGUAAUAAGGCUGCCGGACACUUUGAGUGAGACUUUGGAGGAGCAUGAAGUGGUUGGAGAAGCAAGUCUGUCAGACUGUGAGGUUGCAACCAAGAAGAGGAGACAGAUGCUUUGUGCCGUUGGGAGGGAAGUGCAAGCUGCUUCCAAGCUGAUGAGAAGAAAGCUGCUGAGGUACCGCAAGACCUUGCCUGGCUUGCUUUGGCAAGUGCAAGCUGUUUUCAAUCAGGCGAUGAGAAGGAAGCUGCUGGGUUACCGCAAAACUUUUGAGUGGCUACAUGCAGCACAUGUGUGCAUUUGGUGGCCCGAAUGUGCUGCUUGCUUCAAGUAG
rnacentral:rRNA from 1 species